rnacentral:rRNA from 1 species
GUCCACGCCGUAAACGAUGAGUGCUAGGUGCUGCGGGUAUUGACCCCUGCGGUGCCGUAGCUAACGCGUUAAGCACUCCGCCUGGGGAGUACGGCCGCAAGGCUAAAACUCAAAGGAAUUGACGGGGGCCCGCACAAGCGGUGGAGCAUGUUGUUCAAUUCGACGCAACGCGCAGAACCUUACCUGGGUUAAAUCCACUCGAAUCUGGCAGAGAUGCCGGGGUGCCUUUCGGGGAACGAGUGAGAAGGUGCUGCAUGGCUGUCGU